GGAUUAGAUACCCUGUAGGCCACGCCGUAAACGAUGCACACUAGACGUCGGAGGUUCUGACACCAUCGGCGCUGGAGCAAAAGUAUUAAGUGUGCCGCCUGGGGAGUACGCCCGCAAGGCUAAAACUCAAAGGAAUUGACGGGGGCUCACACAAGCGCUGGAGCAUGUCCUGUAAUUCGAAGCAACGCGAAGAACCUUACCCAGGUUUGACAUGCUUGGAUGCAAACGGGUAAUUCCGGGCACUGCCCUUCGGCGUGAAACUUGCACAGGUGUUGCAUGGCUGUCGUCAGCUCGUGCUGUGAAGUGUCGGGUUAAGUCCCUUAACGAGCGGAACCUUUGCCGCUAGUUGCCAGCGGGUCAUGCCGGGGACUCUAGCGGGACUCCCGGCGUUAAGCCGGAGGAAGGUGGGGACGACGUCAAGUCAUCAUGGCCUUUAUGCCUGGGGAUGCACACGUGCUACAAUGGCGCGUACAGAGCGAAGCGAGACCGCGAGGUUUAGCAAAUCGCAAAAAGCGCGCCCCAGUUCAGAUUGGAGUCUGAAAUUCGACUCCAUGAAGUUCGAAUCGCUACUAAUCGCCUACUCACCCAUGACGCGGUGAAUGUGUUCCUGAGCANUGUACACACCGCCCGUCAAGUCAUGGAAGCUGGUAGUACCCGAAGUCACG
rnacentral:rRNA from 1 species